AACGCACAUUGCGCCCGCCAGUAUUCUGGCGGGCAUGCCUGUUCGAGCGUCAUUUCAACCCUCAAGCCCAGCUUGGUGUUGGGAGCUGUCGUCUGACACUCCCCAAAUACAUUGGCGGUCACGUCGAGCUUCCAUAGCGUAGUAAUUUACACAUCGUUACUGGUAAUCGUCGCGGCCACGCCGUUAAACCCCAACUUCUGAAUGUUGACCUCGGAUCAGGUAGGAAUACCCGCUGAACUUAA
rnacentral:misc_RNA from 1 species